UCAUGAGUGUGUCCCCCUGGGAGUGCACAUAACUUUGAAAAUGUGAUUCCAUUAAAGUCAUCACAACUGCCUGUUCAGUCGGUGUCUGUCUUUGCGUGCUUCCCACAGACAGCACCUCACUAAGCUAAACUAUGAACCGCAUUUAGUGUUCGAAGUCAUACAUUCUUUAAAUACAACAUGGCCUUCAAUUAUAAGUCAACUGCUUCGUAGUUGGCUGCCAAAGCAACAGCCAUCUUAAACCAUGAAAUGCCCUUCAGAAGAAAGACAUGUGCUAGGAAGAUGGAGGAGGGAGCUUGAAGAAACCUGGGUCCCAGCUAUGGUUACUUUGAGUUUUUGGAUAGAUGCGGCUAAACCUCAUCCUCAUCUACACAUUGUUUACAUGCAAAAUGAAUUCCACCUUGAGAUAUAAUAUAAGAAGCAUGCCCUCUUUGUGGCUGAAUAUAAACCACAGUGGAACUUUCUCCAAAAAAGGAAUAUUUACAAAGCUAUUCCCUUACCUCCAGUUUGAGAAAAUUUCUUCCAACAAAGUCCGAAACACAGAAUUGAUGCUAAGUGGCAAUUUCUAAAUGACAAAAAGGGAAAGCCACAAAAAUGUAGUUAUGUCAAGGUACUAUGCAAUGAAUGUUUGUAUCCCUUUGAAGUGGAUAUAUUGAAGGCCUAAUACCUAAUGUGACAGUAUUUGAGGGUGGAACCUUUGAGAAGUAAUUAGGUAUGAGGGUGGAGCCUUCAUGAAUGGAAUUCAUGUCUUAUAAAGACACUAAUGUAGAAGAAACAUGAGAGAGAUGAUCAUGAUGAUAUGAGUGAAGGCAGGCAUCUGCAAAUCAGGAAGAAGGUCCUUAGUAGACACAGAAUCUGCCAGCACCCUGAUCUUGGACUUCCCAGCCUCCAGAACUGUGAGAAAUAAAUGUUUACUGUUCAAACCACCCAGUCUAUGGCAUUUGCUAGAGCAGCC
rnacentral:lncRNA from 1 species